rnacentral:rRNA from 1 species
GGGCCCGCACAAGUGGUGGAGCAUGUGGUUUAAUUCGAUGCAACGCGAAGAACCUUACCAACCCUUGAAAUCUAGCGAAGUUCACAGAGAUGAGAAUGUGCCUUCGGGAACGCUAUGACAGGUGUUGCAUGGCUGUCGUCAGCUCGUGUCGUGAGAUGUAUGGUUAAGUCCAGUAACGAGCGCAACCCCUAUCCUUAUUUGCCAGCGCGUUAAGGCGGGAACUAUAGGGAGACUGCCGGGUGAAACCCGGAGGAAGGCGGGGACGAGGUCAAGUCAUCAUGGCCCUUAUGGGUUGGGCUACACACGUGCUACAAUGGGAAGUACAGAGGGAUGCUAAAGCGCGAGGCGAAGCUAAUCCCUUAAAGCCAGUCGUAGUCCGGAUCGGAGUCUGCAACUCGACUCCGUGAAGUCGGAAUCGCUAGUAAUCG